GACAGAGGGUGCAAACGUUGUUCGGAAUUACUGGGCGUAAAGCGCGUGUAGGCGGCUGUGCAAGUCGGAUGUGAAAGCCCUGGGCUCAACCCAGGAAGUGCAUUCGAUACUGCGCAGCUCGAGUCCCGGAGAGGGUGGUGGAAUUCUCGGUGUAGAGGUGAAAUUCGUAGAUAUCGAGAGGAACACCUGUGGCGAAGGCGGCCACCUGGACGGCGACUGACGCUGAGACGCGAAAGCGUGGGGAGCAAACAGG
rnacentral:rRNA from 1 species